GACGAACGCUGGCGGCGUGCUUAACACAUGCAAGUCGAACGGAAAGGCCCUGCUUUUGUGGGGUGCUCGAGUGGCGAACGGGUGAGUAACACGUGAGUAACCUGCCCUUGACUUUGGGAUAACUUCAGGAAACUGGGGCUAAUACCGGAUAGGAGCUCCUGCUGCAUGGUGGGGGUUGGAAAGUUUCGGCGGUUGGGGAUGGACUCGCGGCUUAUCAGCUUGUUGGUGGGGUAGUGGCUUACCAAGGCUUUGACGGGUAGCCGGCCUGAGAGGGUGACCGGCCACAUUGGGACUGAGAUACGGCCCAGACUCCUCCGGGAGGCAGCAGUGGGGAAUAUUGCACAAUGGGCGGAAGCCUGAUGCAGCAACGCCGCGUGCGGGAUGACGGCCUUCGGGUUGUAAACCGCUUUCGCCUGUGACGAAGCGUGAGUGAGGGUAAUGGGUAAAGAAGCACCGGCUAGCUACGUG
rnacentral:rRNA from 1 species